UGUAAUGGGAAUGGAAAAGGUUGUAGAAGAGAAAGAAAAUAGCCAAAAAUAUUGUUUUCGCCACGGAAGAGUGUUUCAACCAGCAGGAGAAAGAGUUGUUCAUCUCCACCACAUGAGAGUUUCCAGUCUGGCCAUUAGCUGAAGACUGUGCAACGGAAAAACAACGUUUGCAUUUCAAGCGAGAGUCCAUACCAGAGAGCCUGGUGUUAAACAUGCACCAGCACACCUCUGACAGGAGGCACACACAAGCCUUACUGAGAUUCCAGUUUACCCUCAGAGAGUUGAAUAGACACCGUCUGCCUUUACACGGAUGAGGACUGUUCCUUGCAACUGCCAAUUAAGGAGAACUAAAUGACUGCAUUUCCUCCAAGGCAUCAAUAUCCUGCCUCUAGAACUGAAAAUCUGAGUUUCCUUCUUCUGGAUGAAGAAGAGAGAAACAAAAGCUAUUGUUAACAUCUUCCGUUGGGAACUUAUCAAGGCACAAGAGCAGCAUCUACCUUUGUUUACUGAGGCGGGUUUACUGUGGUUCUCGAAUAUUAUACAAUCGUUUACACAGCAGCCCUUUUUACAGGUUUUAAAUCUUCCUGAGCUGCCACUCUCUGAAGCUGAGUCUGCCAGCUGGCAGACAGAGAGGUGCUUGUGUUCUAACUGAUGGAGGUAAUUAACAGCCCCAACUGUCAGAAGGUGACAGCAGGCAAAAAGUUCUUGCCCCGGGGUCACAGCUGGACUCCAAAAACUUGCUCCUGAUUUACCAGUAAAACUAAUAAUGUAAGUAAUAUUGGUAUUAAAUUAUAAAAUCCAAGGGUCAAGCUGAAAUUCUGGGUUGUACCCCACAUUCACUGGCAGCAAAUUAGCGAUAAUAUCUUGGCAAUGACUCUGUCUUGUAGUGACUCUGUCCUCUUAAAUGAAUCCUGCAAAAAUCAGCGGGUGCCUGUUUGGGCAAAAAUUUGUGGAUCUCACUACCCUUAAAGAAGCAAAGUGGUGUGUUUCACUUUGAUUUCUUC